rnacentral:rRNA from 1 species
AUUGAACGCUGGCGGCAUGCCUUACACAUGCAAGUCGAACGGCAGCGGACCUUCGGGUGCCGGCGAGUGGCGAACGGGUGGAGUAAUAUAUCGGAACGUACCUUUCAGUGGGGGAUAACGUAGCGAAAGUUACGCUAAUACCGCAUAUUCUGUGAGCAGGAAAGCAGGGGAUCGCAAGACCUUGCGCUGAUUGAGCGGCCGAUAUCAGAUUAGCUAGUUGGUGAGGUAAAGGCUCACCAACGGCGACGAUCUGUAGCGGGUCUGAGAGGAUGAUCCGCCACACUGGAACUGAGACACGGUCCAGACUCCUACGGGAGGCAGCAGUGGGGAAUUUUGGACAAUGGGCGCAAGCCUGAUCCAGCCAUGCCGCGUGAGUGAAGAGGCC